rnacentral:lncRNA from 1 species
GUUAGAUCUGUACAUGAAAAUUGAGCAAACUACAUUAUUUUGUGCUAUGCUGUACUGCAGGUAUUCAAGAAGGAAAUGGAGAAGAUGCCCUUCCACAAAACAGAGGGUUUAAAGGAUUUCGUGGUGGCUCUGGACAAGGUGAGGGUUUUCAAGAACGAAAAGCUGUAGAUGGUGCUAGUACACAGAACAGAGGGUUUAAAGGAUUUCGUGGUGGCUUUGGACAAGGUGAGAGCAAGUUAGAUGGUUUGUUCUUCUUUUCAUACAGAGUGGUUUGGUAUGGGUACAGGAUAUGUUUGAUGAUCUUCCUGGAUUUGUUUGCUUCCUGAGAGCUACUGCACAGAACUGAGAAUUCCUACUACUGGUUCUGUUCUUCAGCUGUGUUGUGGCAUAUGAAUGGUCUCUUUUAAAAGCAAGUAUUAUUGGAUACAGGAUAGGUUGGAUCUAAUGAAGAAGUUGUUGGGACUAUUGCUCUGCUGAUUUAUUGGAGUCAAUAGCUGGCUUUAGUUUGUAGUAUUUCAUGAUAUUAAUGUGCAUAUGAUUUAGAGGAACUGAUCAAGCAGCUCCCUCCUCCCAUCCCUCCACUUCAUGCCAGCCGUUCAGGUGAGCUAGGGGCAGAAUUUGGGCCGUUUGCAUACAAUUGAAAACACUCUGACCAGGAGUGGGCAAACUGGGGUAUAGCAUGGCAGGCAGUAGGAGUGCUGAAAUGGCAGGGCAGUGAAGGUGUGGCACAACAGGGACUGGCAUGCCCAUUUAUGUGGCAGUUUGCACAGGUGGGGCACAGCCAUCCUCCUCGUGAUAGGUUGAGUGUUAAUAUGUCAGUGUGGUAUUUUGGCAGGUUUGUUGUUGUACUUGUUUGUUUGGGUUUGUGUCAUUCCCGUUCUUCCCCCUCCACCCCCGCUUACUAGAUCCAGUACUGAUUUGCAAAUGGUCAGAAGCAAUUGCUGCUGUCAGCCAGGGUUUGCUAACCCAGACAUAAUUCCCCAAGAGGGAAACAGGUGUCCAGGCCACUGGCUGCAGUGAGUGUCUUGGCCUGGUGUUAGUACCAGAAGAUGUUGCAAAAAAAAAAAUCUGCCUGUGGUGUAAGCAGGUGAGUGAUUUGAUCUGUCUAGGGGCAGAGCUUAAGAGAUGGAAUGGUUGAGGAGUAUUAGAGGUAGCAAAAGAGAAAUAGACUAGGGGAGUUACACCCUUCCAACUCUUAAGAGAAGCUCAGCAGAUGUCAGAGGAGCCCUGCCUCCUGCAGGGAGGAGGAGGAGACCUCCCUAGAUGGGGUGGGAAUCAAGUCCCUUCUUGGAAAUCAAAAAAUUCCCUUGCCAUUGCCUUCCCAGG